AGAACGAACGCUGGCGGCAGGCUUAACACAUGCAAGUCGAGCGCUGUAGCAAUACAGAGCGGCGCACGGGUGAGUAACACGUGGGAACAUGCCUUUCGGUUCGGAAUAACUCAGGGAAACUUGUGCUAAUACCGGAUACGCCCUUACGGGGAAAGAUUUAUUGCCGAAAGAGUGGCCCGCGUUGGAUUAGCUAGUUGGCGGGGUAAAAGCCCACCAAGGCGACGAUCCAUAGCUGGUCUGAGAGGACGACCAGCCACACUGGGACUGAGACACGGCCCAGACUCCUACGGGAGGCAGCAGUGGGGAAUCUUGGACAAUGGGGGAAACCCUGAUCCAGCCAUGCCGCGUGAGUGAUGAAGGCCCUAGGGUUGUAAAACUCUUUCGGCGGGGACGAUAAUGACGGUACCCGCAGAAGAAGCUCCGGCUAACUUCGUGACAGCAGCCGC
rnacentral:rRNA from 1 species